UACGUAGGGUGCGAGCGUUGUCCGGAAUUAUUGGGCGUAAAGGGCUCGUAGGCGGUCUGUUGCGUCGGGAGUGAAAACUCAGGGCUUAACCCUGAGCCUGCUUCCGAUACGGGCAGACUAGAGGUAUGCAGGGGAGAACGGAAUUCCUGGUGUAGCGGUGAAAUGCGCAGAUAUCAGGAGGAACACCGGUGGCGAAGGCGGUCUCUGGGCCUUACCUGACGCUGAGGAGCGAAAGCGUGGGGAGCGAACAGG
rnacentral:rRNA from 1 species